GUGAGCGGCUCCACGCUAGAAGUAGGUCGCGGUAGCUUGCAUCGGAAGGGAGCGGAAGAUUUCCGCAAACUCCCGCAGCCGUCUCUCCCCCGCCGUCCCUCUCUCAUCCCCCACCGUCGCACCUCCCCUCUUCUGCCGCCACAGCACCUCCGUCCUCCCCGGUUCCCCCAACUGCGACGACACUAGGGAGGCCGAAUCUGGUUGGAGGAGGCCAGCCGGAGAGCAGGCGCUGGGCACGACACUCGAUGGAUCUGGCUUGCAUCAAGGUUCGGCAGCGUCCGCCGAGCGUGUGCGGAGGAAGAUCCAUGGAGCUCCCCUCCCCCGUCUUAGCACAAGCCGCGUCGCCUCGUCUCCUCCAUGCCACACAUGCUGCGCUCACCCCCACCUUCCCUUCUCUUCUCCAGCGACCCGGAUCCCACAUCUGCGGCACCAGUGAGCUCCCCCGAUGAGUCCUCUGCUUCCCAGAGCUCAGCACGCAGGUGUGUGCUGCUAUCAAAGUUAAGGCAUCAGUUAUCAUUUGCUUGACCUAUUCCGAGUGGGCUGCAAUGUAUAUACAAAUAUAUAUUGCUUGUACAGGGCUGCAAGGUGCAAGAAUUUUGAAAUUGGUGGAGACAAUGCAAGAAGGGCAAGGGAACAUAUGUACCUUCGAAAAUAAAUGAUAUGCACACAUCGGACCAUGAAGAUUUGCACUGGGACCUACAUAAUUGGGAAUUUAAAGUGUUGACAAAGCCCAUCGAUGUGCACAUGAUUAGAGGAAGAGUUGUAAGUGGGCCAUGUUCUUAGUGGCACAGGUCAUCAACAAGAACUGAGAGUUCUACCCUCCUAGUUAACCAUCAGUAUGUGUGAUUGCCAUUAUUAAUAUGGGUCGAGUGAUGUAGUGUGUGACUGAAUAAGUUAAGUCCAAUGUUGUGAUGGAUUUCGAACAAGCUGUGAAUCUGUCAAUGAAUUUGAUGUAAAUGUGGGUAUGUUAAACUUGAUAUCUAUUUGAAGAGCUUCUGUUAUGAACAUGUAGUAAUGUAUUGAUGACUUUCAUA